rnacentral:rRNA from 1 species
AUUGAACGCUGGCGGCAUGCCUUACACAUGCAAGUCGAACGGCAGCACGGGUGCUUGCACCUGGUGGCGAGUGGCGAACGGGUGAGUAAUACAUCGGAACGUACCUUAUCGUGGGAGAUAACGCAGCGAAAGCUGUGCUAAUACCGCAUACGCCCUGAGGGGGAAAGCGGGGGAUCGCAAGACCUCGCGCGAUUAGAGCGGCCGAUGCCUGAUUAGCUUGUUGGUGGGGUAAAAGCCCACCAAGGCGACGAUCAGUAGCUGGUCUGAGAGGACGAGUGGCCACACUGGGACUGAGACACGGCCCAGACUCCUACGGGAGGCAGCAGUGGGGAAUUUUGGACAAUGGGGGCAACCCUGAUCAAGCAAUGCCGCGUGAGUGAAGAAGGCCUUCGGGUUGUAAAGCUCUUUUGUCAGGGAAGAAACACCGGCUCUAACACAGUCCGGGAAUGACGGUACCUGAAGAAUAAGCACCGGCUAACUACGUGCCAGCCGCCGCCGUAA